AUUAUUGGGCGUUAAGGGCUCGCAGGCGGUUUUUUAAGUUUGAUGUGAAAGCCCCCGGCUUAACCGGGGAGGGUCAUUGGAAACUGGGAAACUUUGAGUGCAGAAGAGGAGAGUGGAAUUUCCACGUGUAGCGGUGAAAUUGCGUAGAGAUGUGGAGGAACACCAGUGGCGAAGGCGACUCUCUGGUCUGUAACUGACGCUGAGGAGCGAAAGCGUGGGGAGCGAACAGGAUUAGAUACCCUGGUAGUCCACGCCGUAAACGAUGAGUGCUAAGUGUUAGGGGGUUUCCGCCCCUUAGUGCUGCAGCUAACGCAUUAAGCACUCCGCCUGGGGAGUACGGUCGCAAGACUGAAACUCAAAGGAAUUGACGGGGGCCCGCACAAGCGGUGGAGCAUGUGGUUUAAUUCGAAGCAACGCGAAGAACCUUACCAGGUCUUGACAUCCUCUGACAACCCUAGAGAUAGGGCUUUCCCUUCGGGGACAGAGUGACAGGUGGUGCAUGGUUGUCGUCAGCUCGUGUCGUGAGAUGUUGGGUUAAGUCCCGCAACGAGCGCAACCCUUGAUCUUAGUUGCCAGCAUUUAGUUGGGCACUCUAAGGUGACUGCCGGUGACAAACCGGAGGAAGGUGGGGAUGACGUCAAAUCAUCAUGCCCCUUAUGACCUGGGCUACACACGUGCUACAAUGGACAGAACAAAGGGCUGCAAGACCGCAAGGUUUAGCCAAUCCCAUAAAUCUGUUCUCAGUUCGGAUCGCAGUCUGCAACUCGACUGCGUGAAGCUGGAAUCGCUAGUAAU
rnacentral:rRNA from 1 species